AUGGUUACAAAGGAGCAGUCCCUUCUCUAUGAUAUUGUCAAGCGUUUCGAAAAUGCGAGGUCGAACUGCAAACACAUGAAGGCCCCGAAAAACACCAAAAUCAUACAAUGUGAUGCGACAUACAUUGACCUGGGUGAUCUAGCUGAGUCUGUGAGGCUUACUGGUAAAAUGUCGAAGAAUGUAGUUGCGUGUGGGAUUGACUACAUCAACAGGCAUGUGGACAUUUGUCCUGACAAGAUGAUCAUGUCCUACAGCGUUACCAGCAAAAUAUGGAGUGAUGACUUCCACCAUGCCAUCCUGAGGAAACAUUUUGCCGCGCAUGGUGAUUUCAAGCUCACACUAAAAAAAUUAUCAUGUUCCCCGUGUUCUAGCUUCUUGCACUAG
rnacentral:rRNA from 1 species